CUUGUAACCUGUGUACUCCAGAGGGGAACAGCAGCCCCUGACUCCCCACAGACCAUCCAGCACCACAUCAAACAGAUCACAAUAUCUCAGACCUGCCAUACCCUACACACUCUGAAAUAUUCAUGAGGAACCCACAUGAAUUUGUUAGUGCUGGAUACAAAGAGCUUCCCUUCAGGAGGGCACACGAGACUAUACACCCUAACAAGGAGUAACUUGGAAGCUAAGCCACAGACAAUUAGGGACCAUCUGCUCUGAUCCAACAAAAAGCCAGUAAUACUUGGACACACCAAAGACUAGCAAGGGGCCUUUGAAUUGGAUCAGAAGAAAAAUGGUGUGAUGACUACCACCACAGCCAGAAAAACUUAAAGAUCUUACCUGGAAAAGGGGAAUUCAUUGUGCAAAGACAAAGACUAGAACAUUACCAACGUUGGAUUACUUCUAACACACAAGCCUUAUUGGGAAGCAUUCUCCAAUUUGCUUAUAUCAAAUCCAAACAAAAGCAGAUCCUCACAACUACAGGGAUCAUGGUAGAGCCAGGUGCUUUGAAAUGAUGAGACUGAUUGUGUCUUGGUGAAGAGGAAAAGCUCCCUGUGCAGCCAUGCUCCUGGUUUUUAUCCAGUAUAUUCACACUGACGACAUCCAAGAAGAAUUCCCACCUUUUGAAAAUUCUAAAGGCUGCCAGGACAUUUGAAAU